GGUAGGUGCAAUUACUAGUCUGAUUUUACAGAUGGGGAACCUGAGGUUCAGAGAGGGACAAUGCUUUGACUAAGGUUGUAUGGCUUGUGAGUGGCACGACAGAGUUGCACCUCAGGCUUUUGGGCCUGAGAGUCCCUAAGCACCCUCCACACUGCCUAUCCUCUGCCUCUGCUGGUAGGUCCUCUGUGCCAUACUGUGUUGGGCCAUGCUGGACCCUUCGAGUGAGCCCUGGUUCCACGAAGAAUGCUGCCCAAAAGGGCUUUGACCCAGCCCCUUCCAGCCUCCACCUCUCCAUGUCCUUGUGGACCACAAGAGAGGAAAACUGAGGCAUGGAGCUAUUCAGCAACUUCUCAGUUCACAGAGCCAGUAAGUGGUGGAGCUGACACUCGAAUCCAGGCCCUCUGGUUUCACAGCCUGUGCUCUGAAUUGCUUCACUUACAUAGAGGCUCAGGAUGAAGGUAAUUUAGUGAAGAUGAGGUCAGCUGGAUGGGCCCUAAUCCAGUAUGACCAUUGUCCUGAUAAGGAGAAGAAAUCUGGAUGCAGAUACGUGUAGAGGGAGAACACCCUGUGAGCAUGGAGAUGGUCAUCUAUAGCCAAGGACAGAGGCCUCCAGAAGCCAGCCCUGCUGACACGUCCAUCUCUGACUUCCAGACUCUGGCACUGCAAGGAAACACGUGUCUGGUGUUUAAGCCACUCAGUCUCUGGUACUUUGUUAUGGCAGCCCUAGCAAACGGAUACACUCAUGCAACAUCGAGCUAGUGACUUAACUUUCGGUGUGUCACAUAGUAGACUCAGUAACACCCUAUGAAGCAUGGGCACAUAGUAGGCCCUCAGCAAAUGCUGGCUUUGUCUCCCCUCCAGGCCUAGGAAUAGUGGCUGGCUGUCUCAGGGGAGGGGAGUGGGAAUGUUACUGAGUCAUCCUGCCUCAGCAUGGACCCAGGACACCUGACCCUCGAUCCUGCCCUCCUCUUUCCCCAGAAGAGCAAUCCUGCCCUCAGCCCCACCCCUGUCCUUGGAGGUGAGCAGAGUUCACAGCUUUCUGUGUGCCAGGCUGUGAGGUGAGCAGAGUUCAAAGCUGCUUUGCCUCUGCCCAUGCUCAGCAGCACACCUGCCGUGAACGGCUGACCAACUUGGCCAGGCACAGAGGGCAGGAGGGGAGGAGCCUCGGGUGCAGGGGCUGACAGGUGCGUUGGGGCAUUUUCCACAGUGUGUGCACGCUGCAUGCUGCAUUUUAUCUGAUGCUCAUAGCUACCCUCGGAGAGAAACUGAGGCCCAGAGGAGUUGAGGGACUCCCAUUCAGUUCACCUGUGCUGGGCUUAGGUCCUUGGUGUCCAGGCUCUGGCCAUGGCUGGACCACUUGCUUGCCCUCCAAGGCUUUGGGAGGCUAUGGGGGGUGGUGGGAGGCCCAUGGGCCCAGCAGUCACCUGACCUAGGCUCAAAUCUCAGCCGGACCAGCGACCAACCGUGUGACCCUGGGCCCUCCUUUGAUGGGAGGCUAAUCAUGCCCACCUCGCCAGGCUGUUGACAGGCUCAGUGAGAGGCCAUCUCCACCCCUGGAACUCUCAAGGGAGUUCUUGUGACUUUCACAAGAAACUGCUAAGUUACUGUUGCUGAAUCAAAUUCCUGGAGAGCCAGGAAGUAUGUCUGUGGGUGGGAGAGACGUCUGGCACUUCCAGGGGGGCCCCAAGGCUUCCUUCCCACAUGCCUGCCUCCCCCAGCGCCUGGCAGCCCUUGAGAGGGAAGAUAACAGAGGGGCCCAGAGGGUCUGAAAUUUACCUUGCUCCUACUUCCUGCCCACUGUACCUGUCUGCAUCCCUAGUUUCCCUGUCUGCAGUUCUGAGUUCAAUAAAUGUGGUUUUACUUUC